GACGAACGCUGGCGGCGUGCCUAAUACAUGCAAGUAGAACGCUGAAGAGAGGAGCUUGCUCUUCUUGGAUGAGUUGCGAACGGGUGAGUAACGCGUAGGUAACCUGCCUUGUAGCGGGGGAUAACUAUUGGAAACGAUAGCUAAUACCGCAUAACAAUGGAUGACACAUGUCAUUUAUUUGAAAGGGGCAAUUGCUCCACUACAAGAUGGACCUGCGUUGUAUUAGCUAGUAGGUGAGGUAACGGCUCACCUAGGCGACGAUACAUAGCCGACCUGAGAGGGUGAUCGGCCACACUGGGACUGAGACACGGCCCAGACUCCUACGGGAGGCAGCAGUAGGGAAUCUUCGGCAAUGGGGGCAACCCUGACCGAGCAACGCCGCGUGAGUGAAGAAGGUUUUCGGAUCGUAAAGCUCUGUUGUAAGCCAAGAACGAGUGUGAGAGUGGAAAGUUCACACU
rnacentral:rRNA from 1 species